rnacentral:rRNA from 1 species
CGGCACUCUUAAGAUUGAGCUGUGAUGGGGAGAGGAACUUGUUCCUCGAGUCGUUGAUUUCACACUGCCGAGAAAAGCCUCUAGCUAGAAUAACGGUGCCCGUACCGCAAACCGACACAGGUAGUCAAGAUGAGAAUUCUAAGGUGAGCGAGCGAACUCUCGUUAAGGAACUCGGCAAAAUGACCCCGUAACUUCGGGAGAAGGGGUGCUCUUUGAGGUUCACGCUUCGAAGAGCCGCAGUGAAUAGGCCCAAGCGACUGUUUAUCAAAAACACAGGUCUCUGCUAAACCGUAAGGUGACGUAUAGGGGCUGACGCCUGCCCGGUGCUGGAAGGUUAAGAGGAGUGGUUAGCGCAAGCGAAGCUACGAAUCGAAGCCCCAGUAAACGGCGGCCGUAACUAUAACGGUCCUAAGGUAGCGAAAUUCCUUGUCGGGUAAGUUCCGACCCGCACGAAAGGCGUAACGAUUUGGGCACUGUCUCAACGAGAGACUCGGUGAAAUCAUAGUACCGGUGAAGAUGCCGGUUACCCGCGACAGGACGGAAAGACCCCGUGGAGCUUUACUGUAGCCUGAUAUUGAAAUUCGGUACAGUUUGUACAGGAUAGGUAGGAGCCUUAGAAGCGUGAGCGCUAGCUUACGUGGAGGCAUUGGUGGGAUACUACCCUAAUUGUAUUGGAUUUCUAACCCGCAGCACUUAUCGUGCUGGGAGACAGUGUCAGGCGGGCAGUUUGACUGGGGCGGUCGCCUCCUAAAGAGUAACGGAGGCGCUCAAAGGUUCCCUCAGAAUGGUUGGAAAUCAUUCAUAGAGUGUAAAGGCAUAAGGGAGCUUGACUGCGAGACCUACAAGUCGAGCAGGGUCGAAAGACGGACUUAGUGAUCCGGUGGUUCCGCAUGGAAGGGCCAUCGCUCAACGGAUAAAAGCUACCCCGGGGAUAACAGGCUUAUCUCCCCCAAGAGUUCACAUCGACGGGGAGGUUUGGCACCUCGAUGUCGGCUCAUCGCAUCCUGGGGCUGUAGUCGGUCCCAAGGGUUGGGCUGUUCGCCCAUUAAAGCGGUACGCGAGCUGGGUUCAGAACGUCGUGAGACAGUUCGGUCCCUAUCCGUCGUGGGCGUAGGAAAUUUGAGAGGAGCUGUCCUUAGUACGAGAGGACCGGGAUGGACAUACCUCUGGUGUACCAGUUGUCGUGCCAACGGCAUAGCUGGGUAGCUAUGUAUGGACGGGAUAAGUG